rnacentral:tRNA from 1 species
AGCCUUGGAGUGUUUUACGAUAGAUUGCAAAUCUAGAGAAGCCGAUUGAUUGUCGGCCGGGGCUU